rnacentral:rRNA from 1 species
UACGUAGGUGACAAGCGUUGUCCGGAUUUACUGGGCGUAAAGAGCGCGCAGGCGGUUGCGCGCGUGGGGUGUGAAAGCUGGUGGCUUAACUGCCAGAUGCCAUCCCAUACGGCGCGACUCGAGCCCGUGAGAGGUCCACGGAAUUGCCGGUGUAGUGGUGAAAUGCGUAGAGAUCGGCAGGAACACCCAGGGGGAAACCAGUGGACUGGCACGGUGCUGACGCUCAGGUGCGAAAGCGUGGGGAGCGAACCGG